CAUAUGAAUGCUCUCAAGCAUAUGAAUGUUGUAUACAGCCGAAUAGGAAAAACCAUGCGAAUAGGUUUACACUCCUAGCAGUCAAACUGGAACAGCAUACAAUAAAUCCUCCCCCAAUAAUGAGACGACACUUGACUUUGAGGGUUAAGCAGGAACUGACUGGACUGGCACAUACAGCCUCUUUUAUUCCCAAUCCACAAACUUAG